rnacentral:hammerhead_ribozyme from 1 species
CUACCACUGAUGAGUUCCACAAUAGAACGAAACGGCCGUCCAAUAC